AAGGGUCCAGGAGUUUAUUAUGGUCGCAGUGCACAGGAGGGGCCCCUGAGGUCUCACUGAAAGCUUCUCCCCAGGGAAGGCCGCGGGCUGGAGCCCCCCUGCCAGGCCAGGCCAGGUGGGCGAGCUGGGCAAAGGGCAUGUGACAGGGCCUUGGUGGGACACCCCCCACGACUUCUUAGCUGUGUGAUCUCAGGCAAGUCUCUUCACCUCUCUGGGCCUUGGCGGCCUCGUCUGUGAAAUGGAGUGAGUGACAAAAUCUACCUCGCUGUGUUAUGAGACUCCAUUGAGACAGUGUCUGGUGAGCUGUGAACACGCCGUGGGUGGAGGCUCUUGUUAUCCUCGGGGCAGAUCAGAUGUCCUCACGGUCAGGCCAGCCCCAGCCCCAGUCUCUGUGGACCAGGGGGGAGGGGUUCCCAGCCUUCGCAGAUGUCUUCAGUGGGGCCGAUUGGCAAGACAGCCUGAGACACGCGAGCCACCUGGUCCCUGGAACACAGUGCUCAGACCCCACAGCGAGGCUCCUGUGGCCAGGGCACCUCCUGUCUCUUCCAGUUCCAUGAAGAGCACCAAGAACGUUCUAGUGUUGCACCCGGACCUCUCCAGGUCUCUGUCAGUCAGUGUUUUCUACGUCUAUUCAGAUGGUCUUCCUUCUGUUUUUUAUUUCUGCAUUUUUCACUUUUGGCUACGGAGUUGCCACAAGCCACUGAACUUGGAAUCCGUCCUGGCUCUGUCUCAUGCUAUCUGCGUGAACUUGGGUUGGUCACUUCACCUCUCUGAGCCUCACCAGUCCCACUGACCUUCAGGAGCUUUGAGGGAGAAGGCAGGUGAUGCAAGUUAAAGUUGAGAGUGAUGGAGGCAUCAGAGCUCAUGAGGAGUGGGCAGGGCUCCAGUGGUCACUGGCUCAAAAGCGACUGGGGCCAAAGGAAUCUCGCUGCGUGUGUGUCUGCAGAGCCGUGCUCCUGGAGGGGGUGGAAGCAGGUGCCACCACAAGAGGGCACUGUGAGCUUUUUUGUUUUUAUCUUCACGGACAGGUUUUUAAUCUUUCUAUGUCUCCAUUCCAAAUUGAACUAAAACUUAUGUUUUUUAGUUUACCUAACUAACAUAGUAAAGCUUUUUAAGUGGAUUUAGGCACAUGUAUUCAUUUGUCAGUAAUGCUGAUUUGAUACCCUGCCCCUGGACGCUUCCAAAGCGGGUGCCCCAACCCUUCAGCAGUGCCUGCCGCGGCUCUGAGAACGAAAGCAGCUGGGGUGCUGGCCCCUGGCCGCCGCCGAGUGCCUGGUACGCGUCCACAGCUGGACCCCGGGGGGCACAGGGGAGCCCCGACUGCGCAGAGUCACCAGGAGAGAGUGGCAGAGGCAGGCCUCUCGGCCGGACCUGGCUCAGCUGACAGGUGGGCGCGUGGGAACGCCCUGUCCUUCCCGGUGCCCCGAGCACCUGGCCCCCACGUACCGCUUCCCGAUGGUGCAGCAGAGCAGCUUCUCCCUUCC
rnacentral:lncRNA from 1 species